CCUACGGGGUGCACCAGUGGGGAAUAUUGCACAAUGGGCGCAAGCCUGAUGCAGCCAUGCCGCGUGUAUGAAGAAGGCCUUCGGGUUGUAAAGUACUUUCAGCGGGGAGGAAGGUGUUGUGGCUAAUAACCACAGCAAUUGACGUUACCCGCAGAAGAAGCACCGGCUAACUCCGUGCCAGCAGCCGCGGUAAUACGGAGGGUGCAAGCGUUAAUCGGAAUUACUGGGCGUAAAGCGCACACAGGCGGUUGAUUAAGUUAGAUGUGAAAUCCCCGGGCUUAACCUGGGAAUGGCAUCUAAGACUGGUCAGCUAGAGUCUUGUAGAAGGGGGGUAGAAUUCCAUGUGUAGUGGUGAAAUGCGUAGAGAUGGGGAGGAAUACCGGUGGCGAAGGCGGCCCCCUGGACAAAGACUGACGCUCAGGUGCGAAAGCGUGGGGAGCAAACAGGAUUAGAUACCCCGGUAGUC
rnacentral:rRNA from 1 species